AUACGGAGGGUGCAAGCGUUACUCGGAAUCACUGGGCGUAAAGGACGCGUAGGCGGGAUAGUAAGUCUGAUGUGAAAUCCUAUGGCUCAACCAUAGAACUGCAUUGGAAACUACUGACCUAGAGUAUGGGAGGGGGAGAUGGAAUUAGUAGUGUAGGGGUAAAAUCCGUAGAUAUUACUAGGAAUACCGAAAGCGAAGGCGAUCUCCUGGAACAAUACUGACGCUAAGGCGUGAAAGCGUGGGGAGCAAACAGGAUUAGAAACCCUAGUAGUCC
rnacentral:rRNA from 1 species